AGCCCAGUACCGCACCGUCCUGGAAACCACCCGCCACCGCGUCGCGCAGAUCAUCAUGACCCAGCAAACCUGAACGGAGACCCUGCUUUCCAUGUCCGCCCCCAACCGCUCCACCGUCGCCGACGCGCUGGCCGCCGACCGGCUCGGAACACCCUCCAUUGUCGCCUUCGCGAUGACCGCCGCGGCCCCCUUCACCGCCAUCGGCGGUGUGGUCACCGCCGGGUGGGCCUCGGUAUCCCAAACCACCGGCAUCACCGCCUACCCGCUGGCGUUCCUGCUCAUCGCCGUCAUACUGGCACUGUUCUCCG
rnacentral:misc_RNA from 1 species